rnacentral:rRNA from 1 species
ACCUGGGAAUCUGCCUGAUAGUGGGGGAUAACGUUCGGAAACGGACGCUAAUACCGCAUACGUCCUACGGGAGAAAGCAGGGGAUCUUCGGACCUUGCGCUAUCAGAUGAGCCCAGGUCGGAUUAGCUUGUUGGUGAGGUAACGGCUCACCAAGGCUGCGAUCCGUAACUGGUCUGAGAGGAUGAUCAGUCACACUGGAACUGAGACACGGUCCAGACUCCUACGGGAGGCAGCAGUGGGGAAUAUUGGACAAUGGGGGAAACCCUGAUCCAGCCAUGCCGCGUGUGUGAAGAAGGUCUU